GCAGCAUGGUCUUAGCUUGCUAAGGCCGAUGGCGACCGGCGCACGGGUGAGUAACACGUAUCCAACCUGCCGUCUACUCUUGGACAGCCUUCUGAAAGGAAGAUUAAUACAAGAUGGCAUCAUGAGUCCGCAUGUUCACAUGAUUAAAGGUAUUCCGGUAGACGAUGGGGAUGCGUUCCAUUAGAUAGUAGGCGGGGUAACGGCCCACCUAGUCUUCGAUGGAUAGGGGUUCUGAGAGGAAGGUCCCCCACAUUGGAACUGAGACACGGUCCAAACUCCUACGGGAGGCAGCAGUGAGGAAUAUUGGUCAAUGGGCGAGAGCCUGAACCAGCCAAGUAGCGUGAAGGAUGACUGCCCUAUGGGUUGUAAACUUCUUUUAUAAAGGAAUAAAGUCGGGUAUGGAUACCCGUUUGCAUGUACUUUAUGAAUAAGGGUCGGCUAACUCCGUGCCAGCAGCCGCGGUAAUACGGAGGAUCCGAGCGUUAUCCGGAUUUAUUGGGUUUAAAGGGAGCGUAGAUGGAUGUUUAAGUCAGUUGUGAAAGUUUGCGGCUCAACCGUAAAAUUGCAGUUGAUACUGGAUAUCUUGAGUGCAGUUGAGGCAGGCGGAAUUCGUGGUGUAGCGGUGAAAUGCUUAGAUAUCACG
rnacentral:rRNA from 1 species